rnacentral:rRNA from 1 species
CCUACGGGCGGCUGCAGUGGGGAAUAUUGCACAACGGGCGCAAGCCUGAUGCAGCCAUGCCGCGUGUGUGAAGAAGGCCUUCGGGUUGUAAAGCACUUUCAGCGGGGAGGAAGGCGUUAAGGUUAAUAACCUUGGCGAUUGACGUUACCCGCAGAAGAAGCACCGGCUAACUCCGUGCCAGCAGCCGCGGUAAUACGGAGGGUGCAAGCGUUAAUCGGAAUUACUGGGCGUAAAGCGCACGCAGGCGGUCUGUCAAGUCGGAUGUGAAAUCCCCGGGCUCAACCUGGGAACUGCAUUCGAAACUGGCAGGCUAGAGUCUUGUAGAGGGGGGUAGAAUUCCAGGUGUAGCGGUGAAAUGCGUAGAGAUCUGGAGGAGUACCGGUGGCGAAGGCGGCCCCCUGGACAAAGACUGACGCUCAGGUGCGAAAGCGUGGGGAGCAAACAGGAUUAGAUACCCUUGUAGUC